UUCAAGAAAUACAAACAGGGACAGUAUUAGGGAAAUUGCUAUUAAUUUUCUUUGUCAUGAUAAUCAUGAUGUGGUUAUAUAGGAAAAGGACCUUUUUUGUGAAAUGCUUAGUAAAGGAUUGCAGGUUGUUAUUCAAAACUGUGAACGCUAUAAAGACCAAUGCAAUCUGUGUGAUUCCUGGACAUUGAAAUAUAAAUAAAAGCAUUAGGAGAGCUGUAGGGAAAGGGGUAAAAUUUAUAAUCAGAAAUAAUAUGGCUACAGAGGCAUAUUAAAUGUACACCUGCAAAAUAAAGCAGUAAGGUGGAACUUCAGCGGUGAAAGAAAAAAAUGAAGACAAAGAAGUCAGUCUCUGGUUAUGGUAAAUACUACACAGAUACCUCAAUGGAGACAAUAAUCAGGUUUACUGUGUAGAACUAGAAAUAAUUAACAAAGAUAAUAAAAACAAAACCAGACUCUGAAAAAUGGCCCUGGAAAAGCAUCAGGUUCAUCAUCCUUUACUUUACUUUUUUGAAGAUAAAAUAAGACUUUUGGUUUUGUUGAUGAUUUUUCUAGAUCAGAAGAGCAC